AUUGUUUUUCUUUCAGUAACAUUAACUGAAACUUAGGACUCGGAUGUUUCCAAGACAGAGUUUCUUUCUUCUUCUUUUUUUUUGGGUUGUUAGCUUUUGCUUAAUUCUCUGUUUGGUUGUGAAGGUAAACGGUUCUGAAGCAAAGAGACGUAGUGAGAUCCCCCCACUCAAUUUGCUCGAGUACGGAGAUAAAUAAUAAUUGAAAAUGGUUGGGAGAAACCGCGUUCGUCGAGAAGCCUUCAAUGACCAGCGCGGAUUUCCUCCUGAAAGACCUUUCCACCGUGGUCCACCUCUGCCACAUCGACCUCCUCAUCCUGCAUUGUUGGAGGAAGAACUUGAAAUGCAGCAUGCAGAGAUUCGGAGGCUUUUGAGUGAUAACAGCAGGCUUGUAGAAGAUCGAAUGGCUAUACAACAAGAGCUUGGUGCUGCGAAAGAUGAAAUUCAUCAUUUGAAUCUUGUCAUUGGUGAAAUUCGUGCUGAACAAGAGCUGCACUCAAGGGGACUCAUUGAUAAAGGCUUGAAGCUGGAGGCAGAUCUCCGUGCAACUGAGCCAUUGAAGAAGGAGGCUGUGCAACUCCGUGCAGAAGUUCAGAAACUGAAUAAUGUUAAGCAGGGACUGGCUGGCCAAGUGCAGACUCUCAAGCAAGAUAUUGCCAGGCUGCAAGCUGGUAAUCAACAAAUAUCUGUUUUAAGAGCAGAAAUUGAUGGCCUGCACCAGGAGUUGGUGCGUUCGAGGAAUGCCAUUGAUUAUGAAAAGAAGGCAAAUAUUGAGCUGAUGGAGCAGAGACAAGCAAUGGAGAAGAACAUGGUCUCCAUGGCACAUGAAGUUGAAAAGCUGCAUGCAGAACUUACCAUUGUGGAUGGUGGACCAUAUGGAAUGAAAUUCAACAGUUCAGAGGGGGCUUUUCCUGCUUCAUAUGAAGGAUAUGGGGCUCAUCUGGUUGCUGCUGAUAAGGGUCCUUUUCAUGGUCCUCGUCCUGGGACUUGGGAGAAGCCUCUUAAUACUCGUCGCUAGGAGAGUUUUUGCUUGAUGGAAGAAAGGCAAAAUUGUUGCUCUGUUCUGAAGUGCAAAAUAUUGGCCAGCAUGGAACUCAUCAUCUAUGUGUGCAUGCUACAUAAAUGGGGGAUCUGGUAUGCAUCAUCCAUAAAGUGAAGAAAGAACAUGUAGUAACCUUACAUGAGAUUGAGGACGUAUGAUGAAUGAGGUAAAGUUUCAUUCGCUUCUAGACAAACAUGAAGAAAAUAAUAAUUAAAAAAGAACCCUCUUUCCGAAUGUGAGUGUGAAAUUGAUAUUCAUGCAUAAAUCUUAAAGGUGCUGCAAGUCGAUGAGACAGUUACUCUCCUCUUGGCCCCAAGACAAGUGUUUAUAGGCUAAACUUAGACAUACUCGGAAGUGACUUUCAGCCAAGUCCAUGUGGUCUGCUAGGCUAAAGUUCCAAGCCUGUGAAAAUCAGGUUUGUAAGUUAUUCUCCUAAUCCUAGGCGUAGGCUACACUAUAUCAACCAUCUCUGUUUUACCUUCUCAUUCCCAGGUCUCCUGCAAUCUCUAGUAAUGGCAUGAUUUUGACAUUGCAAUUCCUGGGUAUGAUCAUUGAUAAACCAAUUAGGUUUGCAUACAAGCUUGUUUUAGUUAAGCUAAGAUUUCCAUAAAAUGUCUCUCAGUCUUGCUAAUAAUAAAUCAAUAAAAAACAAGGUUCAUACUGAUAAAAUCUAGGGUUCGUUUAGUUUCAAGAAACGGGUCAUUUUC